UCUCUCUCUCUCUGUAGAGGAAGCUGUCAGGAAUGUCAGAGGAGGAAUUGCUGAGUAUCCCAGUGGUUGACAAUGCCGGGAACAAGCGUCAGAGGAACCCUCGCGAUGAGAAACUCACCUCUAUACCAGACAGCUUGUUCUUCAAACACCUGACCACGGGAGACAAGCACACCACGUGGACCCACUGCAGGGGGUGUCUGACUCAGUGAGUAGACAGACGGUGGUGGAUCCUAAAGGUUACCUCACUGACCUCAACUCUAUGAUCCCCACACACGGAGGAGACAUCAGGGGAGUAGCCCCAGAGAAUAAGCACACACACACACACAUUUGGACACACAUUUGUUGCGUAUCUGUAUCUCUGUCUUGUAUUGUUGACUGUCUUUUUGUGUGUGUUUGUGUGUGUGUAUUGAUAUUAAGAAGCCCCCCCCCCCAUCACCACCACCUGGAUCACAUGGGCCAGGCUAGAGGAGGUGACUGGUAAACUACAGAUGACCAGGAACCUCAUCAUGAAGGGCAUCGAUAUGUGUCCAAAGAGUGAGGAUGUGUGGCUGGAGUCUGCCAGGCUGGAGCUAGGGGAUACAGCCAAGGCCGUGGUGGUCUAGGCGUUGUGUCACCUCCCCACGUCUGUACGCAUCUACAUCAGAACUGCUGUGCUAGAGACCGAUGUCAGGGCCAAGAAACAUGUCCUCAGGAAAGGCCUCUUCACUCAAGUGGCUCCACCAUUCCACUGGCCUGCACGACUGUACUAGGCACGGAUCACAAGUUCUCUCUCUCCUUCACUAGGCUCAACAGUGAGCACUAUUACCAUCAGGUAAUGUAUUCUUGGGUUGAGUGUGACAAGGCAGGCAACGUGCCAGGCGGUGAUCCGGGUAUCGGCAUCGAGGAGGAGAGCUGUAAACACACCUGGAUGGAGGACGCAGAGAGCUGUGUGUCCCAUGGGUACUGGAGUGUGCCCGUGUCAUCUAUGCCCACGCCCUGCAGAUGUUCCUCAGAAAAAUGAGUGUGUGGCUCAGGUCAUCUUACUUCGAAAAGAACCAUGGCACCAGGGAGUCUCUGGAGGUUGCAGAGGGUGGUGGCUCACUGUCCCAAAGCUGACGUCCUGUGGCUGGCUGAGAACGUGCCUGCUGCUUGCAGCAUUUUG